rnacentral:misc_RNA from 1 species
CAAACGGGCUUCCAUUUCUCUGUUGUCUCCUGUUCGAGGCCCCCACAAAUCACCCUCGCUUUUAUCGCCAACUUUAUACGGUGCCCAUCUCCCAAAAGAGGUUGUCAUUCCCAGGUCAACCGGCACCUCGGAAGCGGACCGUGUACGUUUGGGGCGAUUGUGUGGGAUGAAGAGUGGUGAUCUGCGCUGAAGAGAUGGCUACAGUAGAAGAAUACAGCUCGACGUGACUGGGGUUGUGUUCUGUAGUCUUGCGCUGCUCUUAAUCAACUGAUGUCCUAGUCGAUCUCCCACUACAGCUAAAAUGAUGUCCAUGUGCUGGUCGUCUGAGAGAGCAAGAGCCUGAGAGACGCGCUUUUCCAGACAUUCCACAGCGCGUUUCUCAUUUCCCCAUUUUUCGCAUCUGAGAGGCUAUCCGAACAAAAUCUGGAAAGCUGGACCCUGUACCCAAGCCGUCGAGCUAUACUUGAAUGGGGAGAAUUAUCAGAGAAGGCAGCAUUCAAGUCGUGCUCGGUAUGCGGUCGCCAGUUGCAGUACACCUUUGCGAAAUCAAACUGGAACCGGAAGUCACUGCUGACCAAUGACGUUUUGUUGACUGGGUCUGCAACGCAUCAUGGACGUCUUUCAUGUGAUCGAGACAUGGAAUUUUGGUUGAGGAAAGCAAUCGAGUCCAAAGAGACUGCUUGUAUACAUAUUGCAAUUGUUGACGGACCAUUCUCCCACUCUCCAACUAUCCCACUAUACCGACCUGGUAUCGCCAGCGAAGAUGCGCAUCACCGUCGAGUUUCUACAAGAUCUGUUUACUGUACAGUACGAAUGGUAUUCAAGCACAGUGACAUACUACUGCGAUUCCUGUGGUAUUUGUACAAGUACUUCAGGCUCUUGGGAAGCUACUCGUUGAUAUCUUGAUUGAUACAAGUACCUACUGUACAUACCUUUUGAUAGCCCUCAUUGAGGUGGUUAGUGCAAUUCUCAUAGCCCCUGAGGGAGCUGAUAGACGCUUUAACUGACUUGAGAUACCAAGGAAUGUUUCCACGAGAGGUGGGGGAUACAACAAGUACUGUACUGUACUGAGAACAUUGUUGCGCUGUGAAUUAACCUCGAAAUUAACCUGCAAAUAUCGUCUUCUGUACAGAAGGAGAACUUAUUCCGACUGAAACCACCCCGCUAUCCACUGUUAACUACCAAUCUAAGUAGAUACUAUAAUUCUACUUAUCCUUUCAUUAAUUACUCAACUAUAAACACGGCCUACAUACUAAGGGCAACCCAGCACUUGGUGAUCGUCCCUGGCAUACAGGUUAGAUUUGGACAGGUGAAUAAUAAUGAAAUCUCCAUUCAGGUGGCAAAUAACGUCAUCA